rnacentral:rRNA from 1 species
AUGCAUCUCUUUGGGCUUCUAUCGAAUUGUGAAAUUGGGUUGUACAUCUUUUUGCUUUUGAUAUCGAUUUUGAUAAAUAUAAGGUGUCCUACGGAAAAUGCAAAUCGAAGUUAUUUGAUGUCUGACUCAGGCCUAUAUGACUGAUCCAUCGAAAUACGCCAAGACUCCACCUUUGUCAUAUAUUCCAUAUAUCACCACUCAAUCUGGAGUUCAUGUCACUAUGUAAACUUUUAA